AUGACGUCAAGUCAUCAUGGCCCUUACGAGCAGGGCUACACACGUGCUACAAUGGCGCAUACAAAGAGAAGCGACCUCGCGAGAGCAAGCGGACCUCAUAAAGUGUGUCGUAGUCCGGAUUGGAGUCUGCAACUCGACUCCAUGAAGUCGGAAUCGCUAGUAAUCGUGGAUCAGAAUGCCACGGUGAAUACGUUCCCGGGCCUUGUACACACCGCCCGUCACACCAUGGGUGUGGGUUGCAAAAGAAGUAGG
rnacentral:rRNA from 1 species